GGGCACUCUAAGGAGACUGCCGGUGACAAACCGGAGGAAGGUGGGGAUGACGUCAAGUCAUCAUGGCCCUUACGGCCUGGGCUACACACGUGCUACAAUGGUCGGUACAAAGGGUUGCCAAGCCGCGAGGUGGAGCUAAUCCCAUAAACCGAUCGUAGUCCGGAUCGCAGUCUGCAACUCGACUGCGUGAGGUCGGAAUCGCUAGUAAUCGUGAAUCAGAAUGUCGCGGUGAAUACGUUCCCGGGCCUU
rnacentral:rRNA from 1 species